UACGUAGGGGGCUAGCGUUGUCCGGAAUCAUUGGGCGUAAAGCGCGCGUAGGCGGCCCGGUAAGUCCGCUCUGAAAGUCCAGGGCUCAACCCUGGAAAGCGGGUGGAUACUGCCGGGCUAGAAUCCGGAAGAGGCGAGUGGAAUUCCUGGUGUAGCGGUGGAAUGCGCAGAUAUCGGGAGGAACACCAGUGGCGAAGGCGGUUGCCUGGGGCUUUGCUGACGCUGAUGCGCGAAAGCCAGGGGAGUGAACGGG
rnacentral:rRNA from 1 species